UUUUAUUCGCCAGUGAGACCGGAGCGACCAUCUCCUCUGCUCCUCCCUCCCUCGCUCUUUCUCUCUCUCUACAGAUUCCCUUCCCUCAAUCGGGAAAUCCACCCACCAAUCUCUGGUCGAAACCCUACAUAUCCGCUUCGGCUUCUCUCGAUCGAUCAGGGACGCCGCAAUCGCGCGGGGCGCAGCCCUUUGCCCUAAUCUCCGCCGUCCGUUUCGAUCGCACCGCCCCUCGCACUUCCUCGUCCGCCGCCGCUGAUUGGUUACCGGGGCCCCGAUUUCUCUCCGGGGAAAUGGCGGCGAUCAGCAAGGUGGCCAAGUAUAAGACGACGGUGAAAGAGCCCGGGAUUCCGGGCGUGCUUAAUAUGAUGGAGGAUGUAUUUACUUUUACUCCUCAUGAUCCUAGAUCAGCGAUGAAGCUUAGAGUGGACUUUAGAAACAUUAAAGGUCAUAAAUUCAGUAAAGAUGGUUCAAAGCAAGCAUUAUUAAAUCUUACACAAGAUUCUGAAAAGGGGGGAGGCUACAUUUUUGAGUUUAAUAAUUUUACUGAACGUAAUGAUUGUCGAGAUUUUGUAGGGAAAGUUCUAGGGAAGUUCCAGGCUUUGGUGUCCAAGCAAAAUGAUGAACCGACCUCUGAGAAAUCUGCUGUAUCACUUGAACAACUUAGCACUAUAGAGAUGGAACGCAGAAUGAAGUUGUUGCGGGAAGAUAGUGAAUUGCAAAAGCUGCACAAGGAGCUCGUCAUUGGCAAUGUGCUGACGGAAUCUGAGUUUUGGGCUACAAGAAAGAAUCUACUAGACGAUGAUUCUGAUAGAACAUUAAAGCAACGGACAGGGUUUAAAAGUGCUAUGCUUGCAGAUAUAAGGCCAUCAACUGAUGGUCGGACCAAUAAGGUCACGUUUAGCCUUACGCCGGAGAUUAUUCACCAGAUUUUCGCUGAAAAACCUGCUGUUCAUCGGGCAUUUUUGAAUUUUGUUCCAAGCAAGAUGACAGAAAAGGAUUUCUGGACAAAAUACUGUAGAGCUGAAUAUCUCCACAGGACAAAAAAUUCUGUAGCCGCUGCAGCAGAGGCAGCUGAAGAUGAAGAACUUGCUGUCUUUCUGAAGCAUGAUGACAUAUUGGCUGAUGAAGCUCGGCGUAAGAUCAGACGGGUUGAUCCAACCUUGGACAUGGAAGCUGAUUUAGGUGAUGACUACAUCCAUCUUCCUGAUCAUGGAAUUCUUCGUGAUGGUAGCAAAGAGACUGCAGAUUCGGAGAAUGAUUUAGCUCGGAGGACUCUUGCACAAGAUGUUAAUCGUCAUGCGGCUGUUGUUCUUGAAGGGAGGGCACUAGAUAUUGAAUUGGGAGAUACGCGAGCUGUAGCUGAAGCACUUGCUAGGUCCAAACAAGAGUCAUCUGCUGAUACUUUAGAUGAGAAUUCUAAUCUAGAACGACAAGAAAGAGUUUCACGUAUGACCGAGAUUGAAGAUCUUCAGGCUCCUCAUAGCCUUCCAUAUGCACCACUUUGCAUCAAGGAUCCACGGGAGUAUUUUGAUUCUCAACAAGUCAAUGCGCUUAAAGCUUUAGGCGGCACUGGUGCUGGUUCCAAAACAAUCGAUUACAGCCUAAAUUCUGAGGAGGCUUAUAGUUAUCUAAUGCAUCAGAUCUCUGAGGUGAAAGCUCAAGGGUUGCAUAAUCCAAUUGUUCAAUCUGAAGUUGCUUGUAAGGAAAACCUAACUCAUUAACUGGUAUGAGCUAGGUUCUGAGUGGGCUUACGCAACAGAUUUCAAGCACCAGAUAUCAUCUUGGGAAGAAUCCUCAGGAGAGCGUUCUUGAUAGAUUACCUAAAAGGACCAAAGAUGAAAUUAUGCUUCAUUGGACAUCAAUUCAGGAGUUACUUCGUCAUUUUUGGUCAUCAUAUCCAAUUACAACUAGUUACCUAUAUAAUAAGGUCCUCAGGUUGAAGAGUGCUAUGACAGAUAUCUAUCAGAAGCUCAAGGCUAUUAAGGAUGUGCAAUCAGAUUUCCGGCAUCAGAUCUCUCUCCUUGUUCAGCCCAUGCUACAGGCUUUGGAUGCUGCAUUCGCUCAUUAUGAUGCUGAAGAACAUAAGCAUUCCAAAAAGAAUGGGGCUAAACCAAAUGGGUUUGUUCAGUAAACCUUGUCUUGUUUCAUCUGUACAUGUAAUUAAAUUUUGAUAUUCUUGUAGAACAGCUUCUUCGGCCACUUUCCAAUGAAGAGUAGAACACCUUCCAUCGCCUUAUUUCUUAUAGUGUUCAUGAAAUCUGAAACCCGUAUGGUUUUCUAUGUAACAUGAUCUCAUAUGUUAGCCAUUAUAUUCUUACCAGAAUACAAUCUUUCAGCUGUUAUUUUUUGGCAUGAGUAGAGCGUUAAAACUCAGGAUAA